rnacentral:rRNA from 1 species
AUUGAACGCUGGCGGCAGGCCUAACACAUGCAAGUCGAGCGGAGCGGCGGACGGGUGAGUAAUGCCUAGGAAUCUGCCUGGUAGUGGGGGAUAACGUCCGGAAACGGACGCUAAUACCGCAUACUAUCAGAUGAGCCUAGGUCGGAUUAGCUAGUUGGUGGGGUAAUGGCUCACCAAGGCGACGAUCCGUAACUGGUCUGAGAGGAUGAUCAGUCACACUGUAACUGAGACACGGUCCAGACUCCUACGGGAGGCAGCAGUGGGGAAUAUUGGACAAUGGGCGAAAGCCUGAUCCAGCCAUGCCGCGUGUGUGAAGAAGGCCUUCGGGUUGUAAAGUACUUUCAGCGGGGAGGCGUUACCCGCAGAAGAAGCACCGGCUAACUCCGUGCCAGCAGCCGCGGUAAUUC